UAGCGGCGAGCGAAACGGGAAGAGCCCAAACCAACAAGCUUGCUUGUUGGGGUUGUAGGACACUCUAUACGGAGUUACAAAGGACGACAUUAGACGAAUCAUCUGGAAAGAUGAAUCAAAGAAGGUAAUAAUCCUGUAGUCGAAAAUGUUGUCUCUCUUGAGUGGAUCCUGAGUACGACGGAACACGUGAAAUUCCGUCGGAAUCUGGGAGGACCAUCUCCUAAGGCUAAAUACUCUCUAGUGACCGAUAGUGAACCAGUACCGUGAGGGAAAGGUGAAAAGCACCCCGGAAGGGGAGUGAAAUAGAACCUGAAACCGUGUGCUUACAAGUAGUCAGAGCCCGUUAAUGGGUGAUGGCGUGCCUUUUGUAGAAUGAACCGGCGAGUUACGAUUUGAUGCAAGGUUAAGCAGUAAAUGUGGAGCCGUAGCGAAAGCGAGUCUGAAUAGGGCGUUUAGUAUUUGGUCGUAGACCCGAAACCAGGUGAUCUACCCUUGGUCAGGUUGAAGUUCAGGUAACACUGAAUGGAGGACCGAACCGACUUACGUUGAAAAGUGAGCGGAUGAACUGAGGGUAGCGGAGAAAUUCCAAUCGAACCUGGAGAUAGCUGGUUCUCUCCGAAAUAGCUUUAGGGCUAGCCUCAAGUGAUGAUUAUUGGAGGUAGAGCACUGUUUGGACGAGGGGCCCCUCUCGGGUUACCGAAUUCAGACAAACUCCGAAUGCCAAUUAAUUUAACUUGGGAGUCAGAACAUGGGUGAUAAGGUCCGUGUUCGAAAGGGAAACAGCCCAGACCACCAGCUAAGGUCCCAAAAUAUAUGUUAAGUGGAAAAGGAUGUGGCGUUGCCCAGACAACUAGGAUGUUGGCUUAGAAGCAGCCAUCAUUUAAAGAGUGCGUAAUAGCUCACUAGUCGAGUGACACUGCGCCGAAAAUGUACCGGGGCUAAACAUAUUACCGAAGCUGUGGAUUGUCCUUUGGACAAUGGUAGGAGAGCGUUCUAAGGGCGUUGAAGCAUGAUCGUAAGGACAUGUGGAGCGCUUAGAAGUGAGAAUGCCGGUGUGAGUAGCGAAAGACGGGUGAGAAUCCCGUCCACCGAUUGACUAAGGUUUCCAGAGGAAGGCUCGUCCGCUCUGGGUUAGUCGGGUCCUAAGCUGAGGCCGACAGGCGUAGGCGAUGGAUAACAGGUUGAUAUUCCUGUACCACCUAUAAUCGUUUUA
rnacentral:rRNA from 1 species